rnacentral:rRNA from 1 species
GAUGAACGCUGGCGGCGUGCUUAACACAUGCAAGUCGAACGGAAAGGCCCAAGCUUGCUUGGGUCCUCGAGUGGCGAACGGGUGAGUAACACGUGGGUGAUCUUCCCUGCACUUCGGGAUAAGCCUGGGAAACUGGUUCUAAUACCUGAUAGGACCACAUUUUGGAUGGUGUGGUGGAAAGUUUUUCGGUGUGGGAUGAGCUCGCGGCCUAUCAGCUUGUUGGUGGGGUAAUGGCCUACCAAGGCGUCGGCGGGUAGCCGGCCUGAGAGGGGGUACGGCCACAUUGGGACUGAGAGAGGGACCAGACGCGAACGGGGGGCAGCAGGGGGGAGUAUUGCACAAUGGGGGCAAGCCUGAUGAAGAGACGCCGGGUGGGGGAUGACGGCCUUCGGGGGGUAAACUCCAUUAGCUAGGGACGAAGCGCAAGUGACGGUACCAGGAGAAGAAGCACCGGCUAACUACGUG